AUUGAACGCUGGCGGCAUGCUUUACACAUGCAAGUCGAACGAUAACAGGCCUUCGGGUGCUGACGAGUGGCGAACGGGUGAGUAAUGCAUCGGAACGUACCCAGAGGUGGGGGAUAACGCAGCGAAAGCUGUGCUAGUACCGCAUGUGAUCUGAGGAUGAAAGCGGGGGACCGAGCAGCAAUGUUUGGCCUCGCGCCUUUGGAGCGGCCGAUGUCGGAUUAGCUAGUUGGUGGGGUAAAGGCCUACCAAGGCGACGAUCCGUAGCUGGUCUGAGAGGACGACCAGCCACACUGGGACUGAGACACGGCCCAGACUCCUACGGGAGGCAGCAGUGGGGAAUUUUGGACAAUGGGCGCAAGCCUGAUCCAGCAAUGCCGCGUGCGGGAGGAAGGCCUUCGGGUUGUAAACCGCUUUUGGCAGGAACGAAACGGUGUCCGCUAAUACCGGGCGCUAAUGACGGUACCUGCAGAAUAAGCACCGGCUAACUACGUG
rnacentral:rRNA from 1 species